rnacentral:tRNA from 1 species
GCCUGGGUGGCUCAAUCGGUUAAGUGUCUGACUCUUGAUUUUGGCUCAGAUCAUGACUGUCGUGGGAUCGAGCCCCACAUCGGGCU